UAUUUUAUUCUCAGUACUGAACUAUUUCCAUUGAACAUUCAGACUUUUUAACAAAAACAAAUAUCAUCAAGAAGGCAAUAGCUAGAAAAUGAGAGGUGCCUUUAAAAAAAAAAAUGCAGCCUUACAGUGAGGAUGAAGAUUGAGUUUGGGGAGGGGGUGGGAGGGGGGGCACAGAGAGAGAGAGAGAGUUAGUGUGUGUGUGUGUGUGUGUGUGUGUGUGUGUGUUGUGUGUGUGUGUGUGUGUGUUUACCAAUCUGUGAAGGUCCUGAUUUGUGACCAUCAAUGUCUUUUUAAUGUAUCUGCUCAACUUCUAGGACUUCAGGGGACAUUUCAUGCGCUUUGUGCUCUUCUGAGCACCAUAUAUACUUUCCAAGAAUUUUGAAUGUGAAUUCCUAGAAAUUUCAGUAGAGAAAACAAUAGCUAUUCUUUAAUUAUAGUAAAGUUCAGGUAGAAGGAGAAAUUAUUUGUUCACCAAAAUUAUGGGAUCUCAUUAAUGUUGGCUAAGUAAAUGUAAUUUUUUAAAGGCUCACUUUUUAAUACUUCAUAUAUUUCCCUCUUACAAAACAGCAUGUCAUGAAGUUCUUAUGUGGUAAAGAUUCAACUAGUAAAUAUUUUUAGGUUAAAUACCUGAACUAGUUAAAAUUCCACCUAAGAAUAGUCUUAAAAUAUUUAAAAAGCAUCUCUCAUAUCUACCUCUUUGUCAUUGCUGCCAUUUUAACUGAAGCAAAUCUUUAUGACAUCUGAAAUGAUGGUUGGAUGCAAUUAAAAAAAAAUCUAUGUUGGUGCUUUUCUCAGGCUUUGUCAUUUAAGUUAUAUUGUAUUAAGAUGUCACAAAUCAGACUGAAAGGCUUAGAAUUAAUUUUGUUUUUCUUUGAAAGAAUUGCUUAAAAUUAACCAUCAAUGUUUUUAGCGAGUGGAGAUAAUGAAUCUUUGGUUGGUGUCUGUCUGUGUGAUGUUUUCAACCAAUAGCCAAAUAAUUAUUGAACUUACAUGAAAAAGAGUGCUAAGUAUAAUUUUAUUUAGAUUACUUUAUUCUUUGAAAGUGACUACAAGGCUAUUAAGUACAUAAUCAUUCAUUUUAUUUACUCAGAAGUUGCCUCUCCAUUACUGUUAACUUGUUUAGUAAUUUAUAUAAUUGCAGUACUUUUAAGUGUUGGACACUGGGAUUCAGGUUGUAUACAAAGUAGUAGCUGACGAAAAAUAUGUAUAUUUUUGUGAAAUGUAUCAAGCCCUAAAGUUCAUUUUAGAGAAAGGCCCAGAAAAACGUAUCUGUGUUUAAAAACAAAGGACAGGUCAUUCGUCAAUUUGAAUCAUUUUUACUUUUGCCACUACAAACUUUUUAAUUGGCAAUAUCCAUCAUCCAACUGGAUCUUCAUGUCAGUGUCAGGGAUGCCAGGUUGACAAAGUAUUUAACAGAUCCUUUCAGUUUUUGUUUUGUUUUUUUAAUUCUAAAAAAAACAAAUGUUAGGCCAAACAGAUCCCUAGAUCCCACUCAUUGAUUCUGGCGGUAUUCCUAAAGUGGUGCUUAGGGGGUCAGAAUUUUCAGUUAGCUCCUCUCUGAAAAUGUCUCAGAGAAUGGUAUUUUAAUUGACUUGUAGAGAGCUGCUAAAUUUGUUAUUAUCAGCAAUCAGAAAGUCUUUGGUCUACCACACAUCUCCCUCCCUACUAUCUCUUCAUUGUUUGGCUGAAGUUUGCCUCUUGUGAGAAAACAAUACAACUCCCCUUCUCCACACACUUUUUUUCCAGCCCAGAUUAAUAGGUAUCCCCUACCCUAAUCCCAACUCUAUGAUCUAAUACCUUUUUUAGGAGGAACCACUUCUUUUUAAUAUUGAAAUCUGCUGGUUACUUUAUGUUUUCUCAAGUUCAGUUGACUAGAGCUGACCACAGGGUGUCAUCAAUUCAGAUUCCUAAAUAACCCUUUCUCUCCACACCCAGUCCUCCAGCUGGUGAGCCCUGGGCCAGAUUGUUUGAUCUUCAGGUAUUUUAAAUUUUAGUUACAUCAAUUAAUGUAAAUUAAUCCAAAUGCUAAUUUUUGUGGUGCAAGAAGUUUCUUAUGUAAAUUCAGGGUAUGGAUAAGCUAAUUAAGAUAUCCAUCUUUGGUGGCUCUAAGUGUAUUAUUUGUUUUUAAAUAAAGUGUACAAAUAUAGAUAACAUGCAGCACAUGGAAAGCAACGUUUUACAUUAAUCGUGAGUUGUAGAAAUAAACAGCUUGUGGUUUGUAUAUGUGCCGAAAUGUUAAAGUAUGCUGGCAUCCAACUACUUCCCUUUGGAAAUGGGACCAAGACAAUAAUUUUUCAUGCAUAAACAAAAUUAACUUAGAGCAAAAGUAAUUUUAUCAGAAACAGUUUAUUUUGGGGGCUGGAUAACUUGGGUGAGAGUGUGGGGAAAGAAGUACCUUACCAAAAAGGAGAAGCAACUGACCCUGUGGCCUGAGCCACAUUGUCUUCCAUUUCAACUUCAAUGGGCUGGCAGUAUACCACUUCUGACCUCAAAGAAUGAAUGGUUCCAAUUCUGGCUUGUCAUUGGUCCUUGUUAUCUAAAUUAAAUAUUUUUAGGAAAUAUAUCAAAAGUAUCCUAGAGCCCCAUGGCAAAGUGUCAGAGGAAAUAGUUUUCAUUAUAUUUUAGGAAGCUGUAAAAAUAUAAGCCCAAGUAUUUUGUGUCAUCUGCAUAUGUCAGGAUGAAGACCAGGCAUGUAAGAAAUAUCCUAAAGUAGCCAAGUGAUAAUCUCAUGAAAAAAUAUGAGAAUCGUUUUUACAGAGUGAGUUCUCUUUUGAAUGGUUUUGACUAUGCUUUUAAAAACAUUUUUAAAAUGUACUUACAUCUUUUUCGAUAGCCCACGUAUUUCAGAAUAUCCUCUUGAUAGAAUAAUAUCACUCAGUGUGAUUUUUAGAAAAAGAAAAACUCGGUGGUCUCAUAUCUUUUGACAGUUGUUUGUGAAUAAUACCCUCCCCAACAACCUUCCCAGUACUCAACUGCUAUGUAAGAAUGCUUUCUUAUGUGGUAAAUGUCUCAGUAUUUUGCUGCCUGGUAUUUGUUCAGUUUCCUUGUAUAUCUCAGGGUCAGAAGGAAUCAGGCUUUCUCCCAACUCUGAAACAUUCAGACUUACUUUCUUUUUGGUCAGCCUUUUAACAAGCAAGACAAUAAACUCCUUUUGUCAGAAUCGAUUUGAUUAAAAAAAAAAAAAAAGAAUGUGCUCCUUAUUUCUCAUUGCUGUAGAAUACGUAGGAAUACACAUCUACUAAUCACAAUUAAAAAAUAAGAGAAUCUUUAGAAACAUCAUUGCUUUCUGGAGGUAGAAAUUUUGAACUUGAAGGUUGUAGUUCCAGGCAAUUUUGUGCCCUUGAGGUGUCCAAUUGAUAGUAUAGCUUGCCUCUGCUAAUAAAUACACAAAAGUUUUCUUUCCUGUGAUUUUCAGAAAUUAUUUUUGGAAUACAAAGAUUAAUAAGGAAUAUGUGAUGUUUAUCUCCUGCAUUUCAAAAUCUUCUGGAUUUUUUUUGAGGCAUGAGGAGCAGGUAAUGAGAUUUUUUUUCUGAAUAUCUUGAUUCUCUCCCUUAACCCAGAUUUUGCAUAUUAUGCAUUGCUCAUUUGUCACCUACAAAAAUAAAGGUUAAUGAUUAUUUGUUUGCUUUUGUCUAUAUAAGCUCCCUAAGGCACAGACCAUGUUCGUUUUUCUUAUGUUCCUCUUAGCACUGUGCCUGGUGCCUUGCCAUAUAAAAGGUACCCUAUAAAUAUUUGUUGGCUGAGUAAUCAGAGAGCCCAUUUCAAAAUCUAAAUUAUACAAAUCAUCAAAGACCAAAAAAAAAAAAAAAAAAUCUCUUGACAGUUGAUGCUCAAAUGCAUUUGGUUCUGUGGAGCUUAUCCUGAGAUUGAGGUCUGCACCUUGACUGGAGAGGAAUUUGGACUUUACCUCACAGGUAGCAACAAAAUGCCUGAGUAGCAACGUCUUUAUACUGCACAGUUGAUUUUAGACAAGUCAACUCUUCUAAAUUGGCUUCUCAUCUAUGAAAUGGGGAUAAUAGAUCUGCCUAAUUAGGUUGAUUUGAGAUAACGGAUGUAAAACACCUAAUAAAAUAAGCAUCCAGCAAAUGACUUGUUCACUCUCUGAAUACAGACUUCUGGUCAUGUAGUUCGGUCACACUCCUGAUAGCUUCUAGAACAUCAGGGUUUUAGGAGAAAUAGGUUAAAAUGAACAUCAAGAGUAGCAGAAGACUACUUUCCUUAAUAUUUGAGUGCCAGCUAUAUGCCACACAGUUCUAGUUGCUGGCAGUCAGCAGUAAACAAAAACUUCACCUGAUGCAGCACAUUCCAGGUGGGGGAACAAGUGAAAAUAUAGGGAAUAUUAGUGAUAAGUGCAGAGGGAAAAAAAAUAGAGCAGGGAAGGGGGAUGAUUUGAUGUUUUUCAGGUUAAGAAAGUGACAGAAAUGAAUUUAAAUGCAAAAAACAAUGCAUAAAGAUUCAUAAUGGCAAAACGAAGCAUGUCCCAUCAUACCCCUUCAUUCCUACCUCCCUGAUAUGUAUCUUUCUAAUUAUUCAUACAAAUGUGUAUACCCAGUUAUUACAUAUGGGGUUUUAUUCUACAUAUUAUGCUGCACUUGCUUUUUCU
rnacentral:lncRNA from 1 species